AUCUCUCUGACUACCUAUCUAUCUAUCUAUUCUCAGAUUGGCUAUUUGGACCUUGAAUUUGAAACUCUCUUUUUUUAGGAAAUAACCCAGAAUGUGAUCCACUCUCUCUAGCUUCUCAGCAUACCAUUAAAAGAAGAGUUGCCUGAAUUGAUUACAAUAGUUGCAAUAAGCAGUUUCUGCAAACAGCAUUUCUUGUGAAAGAAGGCUAGAACAUGUAUAUUCCUGUGCGGGAUUUGAAAACACACAAUCUGCUUUUUGAAAUGACAGGAAGAUUAUGAAAAAUAUAUGUAGAAUAUAUUAUUAGAUUAUAUAUGUAUGUAUAUGUUAUAUAUGUGUAUAUGCAGCUUAAAUGGUGGUAGUCUUUAAAACUGUAAAAAUAUAUUCCAUAUGAAGAUGUAUGAGACCAGUCUUUAUUUUAUGGCUCUUCCACUGUAAUGAUAACAUCUCAUUGAACACCCCAGAUGAGGAUGAAUAAAAACUUUCGAAGUUCAAAAUAUUAGCUCAAUAAAAUAAAAAGGUUGGAAGGGAAAAAUCCGCCACCAAUCUCCU